rnacentral:rRNA from 1 species
AAUCAACGCUGGCGGCGUGCCUAACACAUGCAAGUCGAACGCGAGAGGGGCUUCGGCCCCGAUUGAGUGGCGAACGGGUGAGUAACGCGUGGGUGACCUACCUUCGAGUGGGGGAUAACGUCCCGAAAGGGACGCUAAUACCGCAUAACAUCCUGCUUUUGAAUGGGUGGAGAUCAAAGCCGGGGAUCGCAAGACCUGGCGCUUGAUGAGGGGCCCGCGUCUGAUUAGCUAGNGGUGAGGUAACGGCCCACCAAGGCAACGAUCAGUAUCCGGCCUGAGAGGGCGGACGGACACACUGGGACUGAGACACGGCCCAGACUCCUACGGGAGGCAGCAGUGGGGAAUUGUUCGCAAUGGGCGCAAGCCUGACGACGCAACGCCGCGUGGAGGAUGAAGGU